GGUUUUGUACGCCGUCUGUCUCAUCUCAUUUUGCGAGUCCUCCUACGACUCCUCCCAAUCAAUCAAUAUGAUAAGUACUGCUGGUCUUUUGGUUGCUGGUGUCGUUAUGUAUACAGGCCUUUAUUGGUUUACGAGAACGCGCGAGGAAGACAUAUUGAAUCUGACUCGUACUAUUAUACAACUCGAAGCUGAGAGGAGGUCGGAGAGGCACGCACGGCAGAGUUCGAGGGUACCCAAAAGCGCAUCACUCAGAUAGGAGGGGAGAAUGUGGGUGAUCAGAAGUGUGUAGUAUGAUAUAGUUUUCACUGCUAUUACCAGCCAAAAGGAGGAGCUGAACAAAAAAGAUUAACCUCUACUUCAAGACUUCAAGACUUCAAUGUGGCUAGGGAUUUUGCAAUGUCAGCAUUUGCAGCCUCCAGUUUAGCCAAACAUGCAAAGAAUUCAAUGCAAAGACUCAUUCCUUGAAUUGAUAUAAAAGUUGUCAUUCAAGCAUAUUCAAUUGGCAAAUUAUGCGUGCAUGCCGUCAUGAUUCUUGACUAAAUUGUUUCUUACUAAUUAUUUUUGCUUUUUUUCUUUUGGACUGAAACAAUUUUAAGUCUGUCAAUCAUAUGAAGAGACAAAUUGGUAUGUCAAGGACAGU